rnacentral:rRNA from 1 species
GAUGAACGCUAGCUACAGGCUUAACACAUGCAAGUCGAGGGGUAACGAGAGGAAAGCUUGCUUUCCUUGUCGACGACCGGCGCACGGGUGAGUAACGCGUAUCCAACCUGCCCCCAACUAGGGAAUAACCUUGCGAAAGUAAGGCUAAUACCCUAUAAUUUCCUCAGAUGACAUCUGACGAGGAAUAAAGAUUUAUCGGUUGUGGAUGGGGAUGCGUCUGAUUAGCUUGUUGGCGGGGUAACGGCCCACCAAGGCAACGAUCAGUAGGGGUUCUGAGAGGAAGGUCCCCCACAUUGGAACUGAGACACGGUCCAAACGCCUACGGGAGGCAGCAGUGAGGAAUAUUGGUCAAUGGGCGGAAGCCUGAACCAGCCAAGUAGCGUGCAGGAUGACGGCCCUAUGGGUUGUAAACUGCUUUUAUACAGGAAUAAAGUUAGCCACGUGUGGUUAUUUGUAGGUACUGUAUGAAUAGGGACCGGCUAAUUCCGUGCCAGCAGCCGCCGUAA